AUAGUCACUUCGGCAGCUUGUAUACUAAGAUUGGAACGAUACAGAGAAGAUUGGGAUGGCCCCUGUGCAAGGGUGACACGCAUAUUCCUGAAACGUUCUACAUUUUG
ensembl:snRNA U6 U6 spliceosomal RNA